rnacentral:tRNA from 1 species
GGGGAUGUAGCUCAGCGGUAGAGCGCUUGCUUUGCAUGUAAGAGGCCCUGGGUUCAAGCCCCAGCAUCUCCA